rnacentral:rRNA from 1 species
UACGUAGGGGGCGAGCGUUGUCCGGAUUCAUUGGGCGUAAAGCGCGCGUAGGCGGCGUCGUAAGUCGGCCGUGAAAACCUGCAGCUUAACUGUGGGCGUGCGGUCGAUACGGGCAUCACUGGAGUUCGGCAGGGGAGACUGGAAUUCCUGGUGUAGCGGUGAAAUGCGCAGAUAUCAGGAGGAACACCGAUGGCGAAGGCAGGUCUCUGGGCCAUAACUGACGCUGAGAAGCGAAAGCAUGGGGAGCGAACAGG